GACGAACGCUGGCGGUGUGCUUCACACAUGCAAGUCGAACGAGGUAGCAAUACCUAGUGGCGGACGGGUGAGUAACGCGUGGGAAUCUGCCUUUAGAUGGGGGAUAACGGGCCGAAAGGUCCGCUAAUACCGCAUAUGCCGCAAGGUGAAAGGAGUAAUCCGUCUAAAGAUGAGCCCACGUCCGAUUAGCUAGUUGGUAGAGUAAGAGCCUACCAAGGCGACGAUCGGUAGCUGGUCUGAGAGGAUGAUCAGCCACAAUGGGACUGAGACACGGCCCAUACUCCUACGGGGGGCAGCAGUGGGGAAUUUUACGCAAUGGGGGAAACCCUGACGUAGCGACACCGCGUGAGCGAAGAAGCCCUUUGGGGUGUAAAGCUCUGUCAGCUGGAACGAAAACAAUGACGGUACCAGCAGAGGAAGCAUCGGCUAACUACGUGCCAGCCGCCGCGGUAA
rnacentral:rRNA from 1 species